rfam:Gorilla gorilla gorilla genomic chromosome, chr7, whole genome shotgun sequence
GCUGGGUGUGGUGGUGCACACCUGUAGUCCCAGCUACUUGGGAGGCAGAGGCGGGAGGAUCGCUUGAGCUCAGGAGUUCAAGGCUACAGUGAGCUAUGAUUGCGCCAUUGCACUCCAGCCUGGGCAACAGAGAGAGACCCUGUCUCAA